UCCGCCCGCGUUUGGAGGAGUUCCUCGCAGAAAUCUCCAGCUUUGACAACGAGGAAGAAACUUUAAAGAAGCUGACCAAACGUUGGUGCCGCUGAGGUUCAGGGCAGCGUGAAGCUUCCUAACCCCAGUAAUCUCUGUGACCAAAUCUUGGAUAUGGAGGAACCAUCUCCCACUCAAACCUACCAAGACUGAAUGGCUGUGGUGAUUGGGCCAGUCAGAUCUCAGGAUAUUCCAUCUUUGACCUUGGAUGCCGUAGCUUUAAAACUCUUCAAGGGGAUGCUUCAGAAAGUCAUCAUGCCUUAUCGUCUUGUAGCUUGAUUACUGUACACAGUUUACAUGGGUGUGCCCUUGAAGACCUUCUGGAAGCUUCAUGUGGUCCUGAAUGCAGCAAUGUGAACAGCAGUGGACAUAACUUGUAUGCCCAUGUGACACUUCUGUUCCAAGAGCUGUACUGGUUGCUGGUUCAUCAUAUUUGCCAUCUUUUAUCUUUAUACUUAUACGAUUUGUUUUAUUGAUUUUAGUGCAAUAUUUUUGUUGUGAGCCAUCCAUUCAACUAUAGUUGGUCACACACUGCUAGAUUGGAUCUGGCAUUUUUGUUCUCUUACCGAGUCUUUCCUAAGGACCUGGAAUUGUCAGAAGGUGUUGUUUAAUAAUAUUUAGGAUAUUGCUGCAGGAUAUGAACUGUUCCAAGUAAAGCUGCCUUUUGCAAUUGACUGAUGAUGAUUUUGUCAAUGCCAAUGAUGUUCAAAUAGUGUUCCAAAAGUUUUGGAAUUGCACUCAAGAUGACUAUUACAAUUGGUAUUAUUUUUGCUUCGUUUUGCCAUAGUUGUUCUACUUCUAUUUGCAGAUCUUUAUAUUUUGUUGUUUUCUCCAAUUCUUUCUCUUCUAUUUUGUUGUCUCUAGGUAUUGCAAUGUUUACUAUCCAAUUAACAAUUGGAUAGUAAUUGUUAAUUGUUAAUCUUGUGUAUUGUGUGGCAGACGCUUGUCCUCUUCUCAACUCUGGCUUUGUAUGCAUUUUUCUUAAGAUGUGGUCUUAUACAGCCAGAAUUGGCCUUUCUUUCUGUUUCUUUCUUCAGCUUUCCUGUUCUUAGUCAUUGCCAGGUCUUGUUGUUAUCUGCUUGGCCUGCUUUUUUUUUUUUUAAUGUACUGGCCAUGUUAUCUUUUGUCUUACCAAGUCGCAUUUUGUCUUUCUUGGAAGCCUAUUGAGUCUCUCCAGUACUCAGUAAGCUUUCAUGGCGCACUAACUUCAGUGCAUUUUUUUCACAGUCCUUGCGAUAGUCUUCCAAUGCCCUUUUUCCUUUUUCAAUUGUCUGGUGUACUUACAACCUUCCACACCCUCCUAUUUUCCUUGGUAAUUAUUGUCUGUCAACAUUGCUGCAUAUAUAAAGGGUAUGAUUCAUCGUCAUUGUUUUUCUGAACUUCCUAUCCAAGGUUUUUCAUUCUCUUUGAAUCCACUCCACUGUUGCUCAGAUGGAAAUUUUGUCAAUGGAAAUAUUUUCUAAAUGCCAUUUAAGAUUUUUUAGUAUGACACCCAGGGUUGCUAUUGUAGCACAUUUCUCUAGGUCAAAUUCCAUUGCUAUAUUUGUGCUAAACUUCUUACGAUGUUUGUCAGUCAAGUUUUGUUUUCUUAAAUCAUUGAAAUUGCAAUCAUAUUAUUAUUACAGGGCCUAGCUUCUUAAAUUUGGGUCAGAAAUGCAUUAAUUAUCACAAAAUGGGUAAUAAAUGAUUUUGUCUACCAAGAAAAAUAAGUGGUUUACAUCGGGAGACAAUUGAAAUUUUCAAAUCUCUCUGAAAGUAUCCCAUAAAUACUAUCAUCUUCUUCCAUUAGCAAUAAAAAUGAAAACUAGUAGCAGUCAAAAAUAACUGGAUAGUGCCCUCGUCUGUUCAUUACAUGUCUAACAUAUUUUAGUAUGUCAUUUAUUUUAAUACAGUUCUUUAUAUAUUUUAUGAAACAAAUCUCAAGGCAUUUUUGUGAUGUUCCUGUAUGUAUUUAUUAUGAACUUUUAGGAAACCAACUGAUUUACUUAUAAGUAUUUAAAAUGUUUUCAGUAAUAAGUAGUUAUUACAGAUUUUUGAAUCCAUGGACAUCAGUUCAUAUGUCUGGACUUCGUUGCCCGCAGAAGCAGCAUUCAGCAAGAAUAUGAAUAUUGCUAUGCUGUACACUCUACUGAUUUGAAUAGACAAGCAUCUGUGUUUCACAAGAAAGACUAUAUAAUUAAUAAAAUAAAAUAAACCUUGAGUACAACUGGUGGAACUCUCAGGGUGAAUCAGAUCAAGCAUGAAUGAAAGCCCAUUAAAGCAUUAUUCCCUAAUGGAGGAGUUAACAAAGAAGGCUUGGCUUUCUGUCUCCAUUGUGUUGGUAUCGAGUAUGUUUUUUUUCACACUGUGAGGAACCUCCUCUUCAUAUGGCACCUGCUGUGUGACAGGAAACGUGGGACAGAGCAGUCAGAAGCUCAUUCUGAGCACUUGCCACUCCUUAUGAAUAAGUAAAUUGGAUCUGUCUUACUUCAUAUUCUAAAAUUGGGGAAAAGACACAUUGAGAUAAUUGAAAUGACCAUUUUGGUGCUUUGAAUUAUUUUUAGCUUGGGAAUCCUCAAAUGAAGCCACCUCCCCUUUACUCACUUUUUGCUCUUUCUAGUUAAAUCCCUACCCUGAUGAAGGGAAUUCACAUUUCCUUGAAGGAGCAAUUAUAUUCUUAUCUGUUAAAACCAUUGUUAAAUAAGUCAGCUGGUCCCAAAUAUACAAUUUAACUUUAAGGAGAUCAAGAAAGAAAUAGUAACUCCAGGAACAGCUGCUAGAGGAUAUCAAUUAACUGCAUCCAUUUUAAUCAACUCUUUAGGCCGGUCAUUCGAUUGAUUAAUUCAUUAUUAUUAUUAGUGGAUGACUUAAACCGCUGGAGCAGAGACCAUCUCCAGCAUCAUUAAACCACUGAGCCACUGCGCCUCUUCAUUAAUUGAUUGUUUGAUUAUUGUAAUUGUUUCAUCUUUAGAUCAUGGUAAUCAUACCUAUCAGCUAUUUACACUAAUAAAAUAUUCAUGGGCCAAUAGUAUACUAAAAAUAUGAAACUGAGUCUUCUCUGAGUCUUCUCAGGCACAUAAAGAUAGCAACUUCUACAUACCAUUCAAAAGAGACAAUCAAAAAGCCAAAGAAAAAGAAAACGACCAAAACACCUCCUUACUAACAAU